AAUAGAAAAUUUCCGUUUGGAUAGCCAGAAAGUGCAGGAAAUGGAAGGACAUCGAAAAUCCAAAUCAAUUCUAGAAAUCAACUAGGCCUAAUCAAACAAUUACAGGGAACAAAAUUUGACACAAGGAAACUGUGACGGAACCAGAAAUAAACCAGAGAAUAAAAAUACAGUAGAAUCUUGAGUUUCUCGUUUGGUUACUUAGAAAAUGGAAAGGAAAACAAAGAGAGGUCUAGCUCACCACGUGCUCGACACUCGCGAACAU
rnacentral:misc_RNA from 1 species